UCGCUGGACUCUUCAUCUGGAGGAGGAACAAUAACGGGUUUCGCCCUGCUAACAGGGGGCAGUGAACAUAGAAGAGAAUGCUGAACUCCACAACUUAUCGUCUCAGAGAACUUUACAAUCUGAAAAGCAUAUAUUUCAUUAUUAUUGUUGUUGUUAUUAUUAUUUUUAUUUUCCUGGAAGUGAGAUCAAAAAUCUAUUUUACAAGGGAGACCUUAAUUCUUAAUUCUUAAGUAAAAGUAUCAAUAAAAAAUACUCCAAAUGAAGUAAAAGCUUUCAGUGUAUGUGUUUUUGUAUGUAAAAUCUUAAUCUGAAAGCUAACUAUAGUUGUAAAUAACUGAUGGAGUAAAAUGUAUAUUAAGUAUAAAUUAGCAAAAAAUGGAAAUACUCAUGUAAAGUAUAUGAACCUCAAAACUGGAUUUAAGUACUUGAGUAAAUGUAAUAAAUUGCUUUCCACCUUUGUACAACAAAA